rnacentral:rRNA from 1 species
UACGUAGGCAGCAAGCGUUGUUCGGAGUUACUGGGCGUAAAGGGUGUGUAGGCGGUUCUUUAAGUUUGGUGUGAAAUCUCCCGGCUCAACCGGGAGGGUGCGCCGAAUACUGAGGGACUAGAGUGUGGGAGAGGAAAGUGGAAUUCCUGGUGUAGCGGUGAAAUGCGUAGAUAUCAGGAGGAACACCGGUGGUGUAGACGGCUUCUGGACCAUAACUGACGCUGAGACACGAAAGCGUGGGUAGCAAACAGG